rnacentral:rRNA from 1 species
UACGAAGGGGGCUAGCGUUGCUCGGAAUCACUGGGCGUAAAGGGCGCGUAGGCGGCCAUUCAAGUCAGAGGUGAAAGCCCAAGGCUCAACCUUGGAAUUGCCUUUGAUACUGUUUGGCUUGAGACCGGAAGAGGUAAGUGGAACUGCGAGUGUAGAGGUGAAAUUCGUAGAUAUUCGCAAGAACACCAGUGGCGAAGGCGG